rnacentral:rRNA from 1 species
UACGAAGGGUGCAAGCGUUACUCGGAAUUACUGGGCGUAAAGCGUGCGUAGGUGGUUUGUUAAGUCUGUUGUGAAAGCCCCGGGCUCAACCUGGGAAUGGCAGUGGAUACUGGACGGCUAGAAUGCGGUAGAGGGUAGUGGAAUUCCCGGUGUAGCAGUGAAAUGCGUAGAGAUCGGGAGGAACACCAGUGGCGAAGGCGGCUACCUGGACCAGCAUUGACACUCAAGCACGAAAGCGUGGGGAGCAAACAGG